UACGUAGGGGGGCAAGCGUUGUCCGGAUUUAUUGGGCGUAAAGAGCGUGUAGGCGGCUAGGUAGGUCCGUUGUGAAAACUCGAGGCUCAACCUCGAGACGCCGAUGGAAACCAUCUGGCUAGAGUCCGGAAGAGGAGAGUGGAAUUCCUGGUGUAGCGGUGAAAUGCGCAGAUAUCGGGAGGAACACCAAUGGCGAAGGCAGCUCGCUGGGACGUUACUGACGCUGAGACGCGAAAAGCGUGGGGAGCAAACAGG
rnacentral:rRNA from 1 species